CCUCACAAUUCUUUAGAUCACUAUAACAGAGUCACCCUUAAGAAGGAUAGACUCCACUCUAAAAACAAGCCAUGCACAGUGGCUCUCUUCCCAAGCCAUUCUCAACACUAUCCCUAGUAUGGAAACAUCAAAGAUUAGACUACCUCCAACAACCAGUCUAGAGCCAUGACCUUUGAUCACAAAGCCUGCCCUAUCUCUCCAACC
rnacentral:lncRNA from 1 species